rnacentral:rRNA from 1 species
ACGAUGCAAGUCGAACGGUGACCCAGGGCUUGCCCUGGUGAUCAGUGGCGAACGGGUGAGUAACACGUGGGCAACCUGCCCCUGACUUCGGGAUAACUCCUCGAAAGAGGAGCUAAUACCGGAUACGACCACUUCGGACAUCCGAUGGUGGUGGAAAGUUUUUCGGUCAGGGAUGGGCCCGCGGCCUAUCAGCUAGUUGGUGGGGUAAUGGCCUACCAAGGCGACGACGGGUAGCCGGCCUGAGAGGGCGACCGGCCACACUGGGACUGAGACACGGCCCAGACUCCUACGGGAGGCAGCAGUGGGGAAUAUUGCGCAAUGGGCGAAAGCCUGACGCAGCGACGCCGCGUGAGGGAUGAAGGCCUUCGGGUUGUAAACCUCUUUCAGCAGGGACGAAGCGAAAGUGACGGUACCUGCAGAAGAAGCACCGGCUAACUACGUG